GAUGAAGAACGCAGCGAAACGCGAUAGGUAAUGUGAAUUGCAGAAUUCCGUGAAUCAUCGAAUCUUUGAACGCACAUUGCACUCUGUUUCGGCAGAGUAUGCCUGUUUGAGAAUCUUUAGUAUUUCUUACCCGCUGGUUUUUUGCUUGCUUGCUUUUGUUUUCCUCUGGAGAGCAAGAGCAGCAGCAUUCAGUCAGUGUUUGGUAGAUUUGAGGUGUGAACUGCGCAAGUAGUUCUUCCUUUAAAUGAGUAGCCUUCUUUGAAUGCGACUUUAGUGUUUGAAUAGAACAUUGUUCUGAUAUUACGCUAUGGGUUUACUUCAAUAAAGGGGGUUCAUACUUUGAAGAGUUUAGUAAAAUAAGCUCUUGAACAAUGGUCUCAAAUCAGGUAGGAGGACCCGCUGAACUUAAGCAUAUCAAUAAGCGGAGGA
rnacentral:misc_RNA from 1 species